rnacentral:siRNA from 1 species
AAAGGCACGUGUCGUUGGCUA